CCAUUCAGUAUGUUGGGCUGAAGCCUAAGAAUUUGUGUUAUAACUUAUUCCCAGGUGUCCAAAUGCUGCUGGUCACUUUGAGAACCACUGCUUUAGAAGAUGACAGUUGGAUGGAGGAGGGUUUUCCUCUAGUACUCUCCAGAAAAACAUGAAUCAGCAAUGAGAUUGCAAGCUCUCAUCCUGUUCCUCAG
rnacentral:lncRNA from 1 species